CGGGGUGAGUAACACGUGGAUAGCCUACCUAUAAGACUGGGAUAACUACGGGAAACCGGAGCUAAUACCGGAUAAUAUAUUGAACCGCAUGGUUCAAUAGUGAAAGACGGUUUUGCUGUCACUUAUAGAUGGAUCCGCGCCGCAUUAGCUAGUUGGUAAGGUAACGGCUUACCAAGGCAACGAUGCGUAGCCGACCUGAGAGGGUGAUCGGCCACACUGGAACUGAGACACGGUCCAG
rnacentral:rRNA from 1 species